CCUUACGGACCUAAGAUGACCCUUGAGUAGGCUCCGAGGCCCUAAGAACUUUCUUGGGUAGGCUCUCAGGCCCCAAUAUGCUCCCUCAGGUUGGCUCCAAUACUCAAUGGGCAUUGAGUAAAUCCUUAUGGAUGCAGUUCUAGAGAACUGCAUUUUGGUGUACGAGAAAAAGAUACCCUUGAUAGGCACCCCGGACCCGACACUUGGAGGGUCAACACAUUUCGUACAGUACAUUUUGUUGUAAUGUUUUUAUCUUUUGAAUUGCCUUCAUUUUCGAUGACAUGUGUCUAUAUUUUGAAAUACUUGUUUUACGACUUAUAUUGCUUUUGCUUCUGAUGUUAGAUUUACUUUGAUACUGAUAAUGACAUAUUUUAUUUUACUCA